GGCCGCGCGCAAGCUCUCUCCAUGGUUGAGUUUGAUUUUCCUCAGACGAACGCUGGCGGCAUGCCUAACACAUGCAAGUUGAACGAAGCCUUCGGGCUUAGUGGCGCACGGGCUGCGUAACGCGUGGGAAUCUGCCCUCUGGUACGGAAUAACUCAGGGAAACUUGAGCUAAUACCGUAUAAUGACUUCGGUCCAAAGAUUUAUCGCCUGAGGAUGAGCCCGCGUAGGAUUAGCUAGUUGGUGAGGUAAAAGCUCACCAAGGCGACGAUCCUUAGCUGGUCUGAGAGGAUGAUCAGCCACACUGGGACUUGAGACACGGCCCAGACUCCUACGGGAGGCAGCAGUGGGGAAUAUUGGACAAUGGGCGAAAGCCUGAUCCAGCAAUGCCGCGUGAGUGAUGAAGGCCUUAGGGUUGUAAAGCUUCUUUUCCCGGGAUGAUAUUGACAGUCCCGGGAGAAUAGCCCCGGCUUACUCGUGCCAGCAGCCGCGGUAAUCGGAGGGGGCUAGCGUUGUUCGGAAUUCU
rnacentral:rRNA from 1 species